UACGAAGGGGGCUAGCGUUGCUCGGAAUCACUGGGCGUAAAGCGCACGUAGGCGGCUUUUUAAGUCAGGGGUGAAAUCCUGGAGCUCAACUCCAGAACUGCCUUUGAUACUGGCAAUCUAGAGUCCGGAAGAGGUGAGUGGAACUCCUAGUGUAGAGGUGGAAUUCGUAGAUAUUAGGAAGAACACCAGUGGCGAAGGCGGCUCACUGGUCCAUUACUGACGCUGAGGUGCGAAAGCGUGGGGAGCAAACAGG
rnacentral:rRNA from 1 species